rnacentral:rRNA from 1 species
CCUACGGGAGGCAGCAGUGGGGAAUAUUGCACAAUGGGCGAAAGCCUGAUGCAGCAACGCCGCGUGAAGGAAGAAGGCCUUCGGGUCGUAAACUUCUUUUCUCAGGGACGAAGAAAGUGACGGUACCUGAGGAAUAAGCCACGGCUAACUACGUGCCAGCAGCCGCGGUAAUACGUAGGUGGCAAGCGUUAUCCGGAUUUACUGGGUGUAAAGGGCGUGUAGGCGGGACUGCAAGUCAGAUGUGAAAACCACGGGCUCAACCUGUGGCCUGCAUUUGAAACUGUAGUUCUUGAGUAAUGGAGAGGCAGACGGAAUUCCUAGUGGAGCGGUGAAAUGCGUAGAUAGUAGGAGGAACACCAGUGGCGAAGGCGGUCUGCUGGACAGCAACUGACGCUGAGGCGCGAAAGCGUGGGGAGCAAACAGGAUUAGAUACCCCAGUAGUC